UACAGAGGGUGCGAGCGUUAAUCGGAAUUACUGGGCGUAAAGCGCACGUAGGUGGCUUUGCAAGUCGAUUGUGAAAUCCCCGGGCUUAACCUGGGAACUGCAGUCGAGACUGCUUUGCUUGAGUAUGGGAGAGGGAGGUGGAAUUUCCGGUGUAGCGGUGAAAUGCGUAGAUAUCAGGAAGAACACCCGUGGCGAAGGCGGCUCUCUGGGACGGUACUGACGCUGAGACGCGAAAGCGUGGGGAGCGAACAGG
rnacentral:rRNA from 1 species